GACGAACGCUGGCGGCGUGCUUAACACAUGCAAGUCGAACGGAAAGGCCCUGCUUUUGUGGGGUGCUCGAGUGGCGAACGGGUGAGUAACACGUGAGUAACCUGCCCUUGACUUUGGGAUAACUUCAGGAAACUGGGGCUAAUACCGGAUAGGAGCUCCUGCUGCAUGGUGGGGGUUGGAAAGUUUCGGCGGUUGGGGAUGGACUCGCGGCUUAUCCGCGUGUUGGUGGGGUAGUGGCUUACCAAGGCUUUGACGGGUAGCCGGCCUGAGAGGGGGACCGGCCACAUGGGGACUGAGAUACGGCCCAGACUCCUACGGGAGGCAGCAGUGGGGAAUAUUGCACAAUGGGCGGAAGCCUGAUGCAGCAACGCCGCGUGCGGGAUGACGGCCUUCGGGUUGUAAACCGCUUUCGCCUGUGAUGAAGCGUGAGUGACGGUAAUGGGUAAAGAAGCACCGGCUAACUACGUGCCAGCAGCCGCAGUAA
rnacentral:rRNA from 1 species